GACGAACGCUGGCGGCGUGCUUAACACAUGCAAGUCGAACGAAGUGGCGAACGGGUGAGUAACGCGUAAUCAACCUGCCCUUCAGAGGGGGACAACAGUUGGAAACGACUGCUAAUACCGCAUACUGAAGGAGGGGAUUGCGUCUGAUUAGCUAGUUGGAGGGGUAACGGCCCACCAAGGCGAUGAUCAGUAGCCGGGGUGAGAGGGUGAACGGCCCAAUGGGGACAGAGACACGGCCCAGGUUCAUAUGGGAGGCAGCAGUGGGGGAUCAUCCGGAAUGGAGGAAAAGCGGACGGAGCAACGCCGCGUGGGUGAUGACGGCCUUCGGGUUGGAAAGAUAUGUUAAGCGGGAAGCGGUACCGGAAUAGGAAGCAACGGCUAACUACGUGCCAGCAGCCGCGGUAAUAC
rnacentral:rRNA from 1 species